GUGCAGCAGCCGCGGUCCAUCAGUAGUGGCAACGUUUACCGGAAUUAUUGGGCGUAAAGCGCGCGUAGCGGUUUUUUAAGUCUGAUGUGAAAGCCCACGGCUCAACCGUGGAGGGUCAUUGGAAACUGGAAAACUUGAGUGCGGAAGAGGAAAGUGGAAUUCCAUGUGUAGCGGUGAAAUGCGCAGAGAUAUGGAGGAACACCAGUGGCGAAGGCGACUUUCUGGUCUGUAACUGACGCUGAUGUGCGAAAGCGUGGGGAUCAAACAGGAUUAGAUACCCUGGUAGUCAAGGGCG
rnacentral:rRNA from 1 species